rnacentral:rRNA from 1 species
CCUACGGGAGACAGCAGUGAGGAAUAUUGGUCAAUGGACGAGAGUCUGAACCAGCCAAGUAGCGUGAAGGAUGACUGCCCUAUGGGUUGUAAACUUCUUUUAUAUGGGAAUAAAAUGUUCCACGUGUGGGAUUUUGUAUGUACCAUAUGAAUAAGGAUCGGCUAACUCCGUGCCAGCAGCCGCGGUAAUACGGAGGAUCCGAGCGUUAUCCGGAUUUAUUGGGUUUAAAGGGAGCGUAGGUGGAUUGUUAAGUCAGUUGUGAAAGUUUGCGGCUCAACAGUAAAAUUGCAGUUGAAACUGGCAGUCUUGAGUACAGUAGAGGUGGGCGGAAUUCGUGGUGUAGCGGUGAAAUGCUUAGAUAUCACGAAGAACUCCGAUUGCGAAGGCAGUUCACUGGACUGCAACUGACACUGAGGCUCGAAAGUGUGGGUAUCAAACAGGAUUAGAUACCCCGGUAGUC